AACGCCCUCUUUUAGAGGGAGUGGCGCACGGGUGCGUAACGCGUGGGAACCUGCCCUUAGGUUCGGAAUAACUCAGAGAAAUUUGAGCUAAUACCGGAUAAUGUCUUCGGACCAAAGAUUUAUCGCCUUUGGAUGGGCCCGCGUAGGAUUAGAUAGUUGGUGGGGUAAUGGCCUACCAAGUCGACGAUCCUUAGCUGGUCUGAGAGGAUGAUCAGCCACACUGGGACUGAGACACGGCCCAGACUCCUACGGGAGGCAGCAGUGGGGAAUAUUGGACAAUGGGCGAAAGCCUGAUCCAGCAAUGCCGCGUGAGUGAUGAAGGCCUUAGGGUUGUAAAGCUCUUUUACCAGGGAUGAUAAUGACAGUACCUGGAGAAUAAGCUCCGGCUAACUCCGUGCCAGCAGCCGCGGUAAUACGGAGGGAGCUAGCGUUGUUCGGAAUUACUGGGCGUAAAGCGCACGUAGGCGGCUUUUCAAGUCAGGGGUGAAAUCCCGGGGCUCAACCCCGGAACUGCCCUUGAAACUGGAUGGCUAGAGUUCGAGAGAGGUGAGUGGAAUUCCGAGUGUAGAGGUGAAAUUCGUAGAUAUUCGGAGGAACACCAGUGGCGAAGGCGGCUCACUGGCUC
rnacentral:rRNA from 1 species